GCGGGUAUGGUUCAAUGGUAGAACAGAUGGUUGCCAAUCAUCUGAUGGGAGUUCGAUUCUCCCUACCCGCACCA
rnacentral:tRNA from 1 species